UACGGGGGGAGCAAGCGUUGUUCGGAUUUACUGGGCGUAAAGGGCGCGUAGGCGGUCGUGACAAGUCACUUGUGAAAUCUCCGGGCUUAACUCGGAACGGUCAAGUGAUACUGUCGGACUAGAGUACAGAAGGGGCAACUGGAAUUCCCGGUGUAGCGGUGAAAUGCGUAGAUAUCGAGAGGAACACCUGCGGUGAAGGCGGGUUGCUGGGCUGAUACUGACGCUGAGGCGCGAAAGCCAGGGGAGCGAACGGG
rnacentral:rRNA from 1 species